rnacentral:rRNA from 1 species
AUGCUGAGCGUGGUACGGGUGCACCUGCCGUCGGAGAUCCCGAUUGUGGGGUGUGAGAUCACCCCGUAUGUGCUGCUGCGUCUGCCCAAUGGGGCCAUCUCCACCGAAGACGUACCUGAGACCGCGGCUGUUGAUGGUCACUUCAUGCGAUACAGAUGGUACCGCAUACAAAGCGAUCGGAAAGUUGCUAUCUGCAGUGUACAUCCAAUGGAGCAAGCAACAAUCCAGUGUCUAGGUUGUCUCAAGUCAAAAAUACCUGCUGCUAAGAGCUACCAUUGUUCUGCUAAGUGCUUCUCUGAUGCGUGGCAGCACCACAAGGUUUUGCAUGAGCGAGCUAGUAGUGCUUUAAAUGAAAAUGGAGUUGAAGAGGAGGAGCUAUUUGGUAGAUUUGGCAGUGGUAGUUCAGGGAUUCUCAGUUCUGGGUCUGGCUCAAUGUCAAAUCUUGGACAGAGCCCUGGUGUUAAUAAUGGACCUGUUCCUUUGUAUCCCUCGGGCUCUGACAAAAGCUCGGGUGAAACUUGGUUUGAAGUGGGACGCUCGCAGACAUAUACACCGACUGCAGAUGAUAUUGGCCAUGUUCUGAGAUUUGAAUGUGCAGCGGUGGAUACAGAAAAGAAAGUACCAGCAGGACCUCCAACUUCAAUUAUGACGUCACGUGUGAUUCCAGCACCAACCCCUACUCCACGCCGCCUUAUCCAAGUGAAUGGAGAUGUUUUGGGUCACUUGGAUAUGGACAGCCAGAGUUCUUCUUUCGGGACAUUCACAGUGCUGUCUUAUAAUAUUCUUGCAGAUGCAUAUGCUACAAGCGAUGCAUAUAGCUACUGCCCAACAUGGGCUCUUUCAUGGACUUACCGGAGACAAAAUUUGAUGCGUGAAAUUAUUGGUUAUCAUGCUGACAUCAUAUGUCUUCAGGAGGUACAAUUGAACCACUUUGAGGAUUUUUUUGCACCUGAGUUUGAUAAACAUGGAUAUCAGGCGCUUUACAAGAAAAGGACAACAGAGGUGUAUGCUGGAGUUCCUCAUGCCAUUGACGGUUGUGCUACUUUCUUCCGUAGAGACAGAUUUUCACACGUAAAGAAAUAUGAGGUCGAGUUCAAUAAGGCUGCACAGUCUUUAACAGAUGCGAUUAUUCCACCUGCACAAAAGAGGGUGGCUUUAAAUCGAUUGAUUAAAGAUAACAUUGCACUGAUUGCGGUCUUAGAAGCCAAAUUUGGCAACCAAGGAACUGAAAACCCUGGUAAAAGACAGCUCCUUUGUGUGGCCAAUACACAUGUAAAUGUCCACCAAGAUCUCAAAGAUGUCAAGCUAUGGGAGGUUCAAACACUUUUGAAAGGAUUGGAAAAGAUAGCUAACAGUGCGGACAUUCCAAUGUUGGUCUGUGGGGAUUUCAAUUCAAUCCCUGGGAGUACUCCACACGGGCUUCUUGCGAUAGGCAAAGUUGAUCAAUUGCAUCCAGAUCUGGCCAUUGACCCCCUUGGAAUUUUACGCCCUGUGAGCAAGCUGACACAUCAGCUUCCUCUGGUCAGUGCAUAUUCUUCAUUUGCAAGGAUGGUAGGUGUCGGUUAUGAUUUGGAGCACCAGCGGAGGAGGAUGGACUCAGGAACAAAUGAACCACUUUUCACAAAUUGCACAAGAGAUUUCACUGGUACUGUUGAUUACAUAUUUUACACAGCGGAUUCGUUGUCAGUGGAGUCUUUAUUGGAGCUUCUGGAUGAGGAGAGCUUAAGAAAAGACACUGCUCUCCCUUCACCUGAAUGGUCAUCAGAUCACAUAGCACUUUUAGCAGAAUUCCGUUGCAAGCCUAGAAUCAGACGAUGA